AUUGAACGCUGGCGGCAGGCCUAACACAUGCAAGUCGAACGAGUGGCGGACGGGUGAGUAAUGUCUGGGAAACUGCCCGAUGGAGGGGGAUAACUACGGGAAACGGUAGCUAAUACCGCAUACCAUCGGAUGUGCCCAGAGGGGGUUAGCUAGUGGGUGGGGUAACGGCUCACCUAGUCGACGAUCCCUAGCUGGUCUGAGAGGAUGACCAGCUACACUGGAACUGAGACACGGUCCAGACGCCGACGGGAGGCAGCAGUGGGGAAUAUUGCACAAUGGGCGCAAGCCUGAUGCAGCCAUGCCGCGUGUAUGAAGAAGGCCGUCGGGUUGUAAAGGACUUUCAGCGAGGAGGCGUUACUCGCAGAAGAAGCACCGGCUAACUCCGUGCCAGCAGCCGCGGUAAUAC
rnacentral:rRNA from 1 species